rfam:Cyanothece sp. PCC 7822, complete genome.
GGUCAAGCUACCAAGAGCUAACGGCGGAUACCUAGGCACACAGAGGCGAAGAAGGACGUGGCGACCCACGAAAGGCUUCGGGGAGUUGGAAGCAAGCGUAGAUCCGAAGAUAUCCGAAUGGGGCAACCCAAAAAACGAUCAGUUGAAUCCAUAGACUGAAACGAGCCAACCGGGCCAAUUGAAACAUCUUAGUAGCCCGAGGAAGAGAAAGCAAAAGCGAUUCCCUAAGUAGCGGCGAGCGAAAGGGGACCAGCCCAAACCAUCGACCUUGGUUGAUGGGGUAGUGGGACACUCACAAAGAGACUAGAAAACUUAAACGAAGUAGCUGAAAACUACACCAAAGAAGGUGAAAGUCCUGUAGUUGAAAAGCGGACUAGCUCGAGUGUAUCCCGAGUAGCACGGGGCACGUGGAAUCCCGUGUGAAUCAGCGAGGACCAUCUCGUAAGGCUAAAUACUCCUGUGUGACCGAUAGAGAAACAGUACCGCGAGGGAAAGGUGAAAAGAACCCCAGUAAGGGGAGUGAAAUAGAACAUGAAACCGUUAGCUUACAAGCAAUGGGAGGACGAUUAAACGUCUGACCGUGUGCCUGUUGAAGAAUGAGCCGGCGACUUACAGGCUGUGGCAGGUUAAGAGUAAAAGCUCGAAGCCAAAGUGAAAACGAGUCCGAACAGGGCGAUGGUCACAGUUUGUAGACCCGAACCCGGGUGAUCUAACCAUGGGCAGGAUGAAGCGUCCGUAACAGGUCGUGGAGGUCCGAACCGACCAAUGUUGAAAAAUUGGCGGAUGACCUGUGGUUAGGGGUGAAAUGCCAAUCGAACCCGGAGCUAGCUGGUUCUCCCCGAAAUGUGUUGAGGCGCAGCGGUUUUGUACCUGGAUAGGGGGUAAAGCACUGUUUCGCUGCGGGCGGCGAGAGCUGUACCAAAGCGAGGCAAACUCAGAAUACCUAGCCAGCAAAAACCAGUGAGACGGUGGGGGAUAAGCUUCAUCGUCAAGAGGGAAACAGCCCAGACCACCAGCUAAGGUCCCCAAAUGGACACUAAGUGAUUAAGGAGGUGGGAGUGCAUAGACAACCAGGAGGUUUGCCUAGAAGCAGCAAUCCUUGAAAGAGUGCGUAAUAGCUCACUGGUCAAGCGCUCCUGCGCCGAAAAUGAACGGGGCUAAGUGUGCUACCGAAGCUGUGGACUUGCGUUGCAAGUGGUAGGGGAGCGUUCUGUAUAGGGUGAAGCACUAGCGGCAAGCAGGUGUGGACAGUACAGAAGUGAGAAUGUCGGCUUGAGUAGCGAAAAUAUAUGUGAGAAUCAUAUACCCCGAAACCCCAAGGGUUCCUCCGCAAGGCUCGUCCACGGAGGGUUAGUCAGGGCCUAAGGCGAGGGCAACAGCCGUAGUCGAUGGACAACGGGUGAAUAAUCCCGUACUCAAUCUAGUUUGUGCAGGGGGACGGAGAAGGCUAAGUCAGCCGGAAGUUGGUUACCGGUGCAAGCGUUCAAGGCUUUGAGGAACGGAGAAAACGUUCCGAGCUAAGGCGUGAGUCCGACUCCCUACGGGGAGGAAGUGGCUGAAGUCAAGCUUCCUAGAAAAGCCCUAACCACGUUAAACUAGACUGACCUGUACCCGAAACCGACACAGGUGGGGUGGUAGAGAAUACCGAGGGGCGCGAGAUAACUCUCUCUAAGGAACUCGGCAAAAUGACCCCGUAACUUUGGGAGAAGGGGUACCCUCUGUAAGGAGGGUCGCAGUGAAGAGGCCCAGGCGACUGUUUACCAAAAACACAGGUCUCCGCCAAGUCGAAAGACGCAGUAUGGGGGCUGACGCCUGCCCAGUGCCGGAAGGUUAAGGAAGUUGGUCAGCAGGUGACUGCGAAGCUAGCAACCGAAGCCCCGGUGAACGGCGGCCGUAACUAUAACGGUCCUAAGGUAGCGAAAUUCCUUGUCGGGUAAGUUCCGACCCGCACGAAAGGCGUAACGAUCUGGGCGCUGUCUCGGAGAGAGACUCGGCGAAAUAGGAUUGUCUGUGAAGAUACGGACUACCCGCAUUUGGACAGAAAGACCCUAUGAAGCUUUACUGUAGCCUGGAAUUGGCUUCGGGCUUCGCUUGCGCAGGAUAGGUGGGAGGCAUUGAAGUAUUCCUUGUGGGGAGUACAGAGCCAACAGUGAGAUACCACUCUAGCGGAGCUAGAAGUCUAACUUGAACCCGUCAGCCGGGACAAGAACAGUUUCAGGUGGGCAGUUUGACUGGGGCGGUCGCCUCCUAAAAGGUAACGGAGGCGCGCAAAGGUUCCCUCAGGCCCGUUGGAAAUGGGCCCCAAGAGUGCAAAGGCAAAAGGGAGCUUGACUGCGAGAGAGACAUCUCAAGCAGGGUGGAAACACGGCCUUAGUGAUCCGACGGUUCCGAGUGGAAGGGCCGUCGCUCAACGGAUAAAAGUUACUCUAGGGAUAACAGGCUGAUCUCCCCCAAGAGUUCACAUCGACGGGGAGGUUUGGCACCUCGAUGUCGGCUCAUCGCAACCUGGGGCUGAAGUCGGUCCCAAGGGUUGGGCUGUUCGCCCAUUAAAGCGGUACGUGAGCUGGGUUCAGAACGUCGUGAGACAGUUCGGUCCAUAUCCGAUGCGGGCGUAAGAGCAUUGAGAGGAGUCUUCCUUAGUACGAGAGGACCGGGAAGGACACACCGCUGGUGUACCUGUUAUCGUGCCAACGGUAAACGCAGGGUAGCCAAGUGUGGAGCGGAUAACCGCUGAAAGCAUCUAAGUGGGAAGCCCACCUCAAGAUGAGUGCUCUCAUGGAGUUAUCCAGUAAGGUCACGGGCAGAACACCCGUUAAUAGGCGCUCGGUGGAAGUUCAGCAAUGGAUGAAGCCUAGGCGUACUAACAGACCGAGGGCUUGACCAU